GUGGGGAAUAUUGCGCAAUGGGCGAAAGCCUGACGCAGCAAUGCCGCGUGAGUGAUGAAGGCCUUCGGGUCGUAAAGCUCUGUCGCAGGGGAAGAAAACCAACGUUCGAACAGGGCGUUGGGAUGACGGUACUCUGCAAGAAAGCCCCGGCCAACUCCGUGCCAGCAGCCGCGGUAAAACGGAGGGGGCGAGCGUUGUUCGGAAUUACUGGGCGUAAAGGGCGCGUAGGCGGUCAUGUAAGUCGGUGGUGAAAGCCCACGGCUUAACUGUGGAAUUGCCUUCGAAACUGCAUGACUUGAGUACGGAAGAGGAGAGCGGAAUUCCCAGUGUAGCGGUGAAAUGCGUAGAUAUUGGGAGGAACACCGGUGGCGAAGGCGGCUCUCUGGUCCGAAACUGACGCUGAGGCGCGAAAGCUAGGGGAGCAAACGGGAUUAGAAACCCCAGUAGUCC
rnacentral:rRNA from 1 species